UACGUAGGGACCGAGCGUUGUCCGGAAUCAUUGGGCGUAAAGCGCGCGUAGGCGGCCCGGUAAGUCCGUUGUGAAAGUCAAAGGCUCAACCUUUGAACGCCGAUGGAUACUGCCGGGCUAGAGUCCGGAAGAGGCGAGUGGAAUUCCUGGUGUAGCGGUGGAAUGCGCAGAUAUCAGGAGGAACACCAAUAGCGAAGGCAGCUCGCUGGGACGGUACUGACGCUGAGGCGCGAAAGCGUGGGGAGCGAACAGG
rnacentral:rRNA from 1 species